CUUCGUGCGACGCUUUCCCUGCUGUCCCAGUACAAGUGCUAAGCCAGAGUAAAGCUUCCCUCACCGCUAGGGUUUCGGCGACGGGAGCUGAGGUCGCACAGAUGGACUUCGUGAAUCCGUCGAUGAGGAGGCCGCCGCUGUUUCGGACAAUGCCCGCAACCGAACCUAGCGUCGUGGAGGAAGACCAGGCGCUAUCCACGUUGAUUUUACAGGUUCGGGGUUUGUUGGUUUUUCUGUUCACCAGAUCUGGGUGGGUAAUAGUUGUUUUCGGGUUCUUAUACGGGAGCAUCAUGGAGGUUGCAUCUUCAAGGGCCUGCGUGGGGUUUGGUCGACGGUUUUGGAAAACCAGGGCAUUUCUUGAUUUCCAUAUCUGCCAUAGAGUGCCUGCGAACAGGGUCUUGGUCUGAGGAGCUGCCGUCGAGGAGUAGAAUCAUGGGUAACUUGAAGAGAAUUGGCAGCUCAUCAAUAAAGCCAUUAGCGACACAAAAUAUGAAGUUAUCAAUUAGAACCUUGAAGUUGACCGACAAAGUCAUCGAUAUCAAAAGCAAGCAAUCAAUAAGAGGAUAACUGUAGGUUGGUUAUUUUGCCGCUAUUUUAGGAUUGUUGUAACUUAUCAUAACCACUAUGAAGUUAUAUCUUUUUCAAUAUCCAUUUGUAACCUCCAUUUGGUAACUGUUUGUAACAUCUGUUUUUGAUUUCCCUUUGUAACCUUCAUCAAUAACCAUCCAUUGUAGGCUUUAAAUAGCCAUAUCAUACUCUUCGGAGACCCCUCACACAAAUCAAACAAAUUUACUAUCUUUUAGUAUCUUUACUUUCUUGCA